GGUUAAGCCUAACUCACCCCUAAAACCUUGAUGAAAGGGGGAGGAGUGCUUAUAAGGGGUAAAUUACACCUAAUCCCAAACCAAUAUAUGAUAUUAACAUAUCUCUCUCAUGCCCAGGACUAAACAAUUAGAGUAUGAAACACUUACAGAAGGUUCAAUAUUAGUUAGCGAGGCUCUGAUCCCAUGCUAAAUUUAGAGGGAAUGUUGAACAAUUUACACUUUAAUUUGUUCUUAAUAUGGACUUAUAUAAGUGGUUGAGUUGCUUUACAUAUCAAAAU
rnacentral:misc_RNA from 1 species